rnacentral:rRNA from 1 species
UACGUAGGGGGCAAGCGUUAUCCGGAUUUACUGGGUGUAAAGGGAGCGUAGACGGCUUUGCAAGUCUGAUGUGAAAGGCAGGGGCUCAACCCCUGGACUGCAUUGGAAACUGUGAGGCUUGAGUGCCGGAGAGGUAAGCGGAAUUCCUAGUGUAGCGGUGAAAUGCGUAGAUAUUAGGAGGAACACCAGUGGCGAAGGCGGCUUACUGGACGGUAACUGACGUUGAGGCUCGAAAGCGUGGGGAGCAAACAGG